UACGUAGGGGGGCUAGCGUUGUCCGGAAUCAUUGGGCGUAAAGCGCGUGUAGGCGGCCCGGUAAGUCCGCUGUGAAAGUCGGGGGCUCAACCCUCGAAUGCCGGUGGAUACUGUCGGGCUCGAGUACGGGAGAGGCGAGUGGAAUUCCUGGUGUAGCGGUGGAAUGCGCAGAUAUCAGGAGGAACACCGAUGGCGAAGGCAGCUCGCUGGGACGGUACUGACGCUGAGGCGCGAAAGCGUGGGGAGCGAACAGG
rnacentral:rRNA from 1 species